rnacentral:sRNA from 1 species
UUAUCCCAACUGUUGCUGCCUUGUU